rnacentral:rRNA from 1 species
GAUGAACGCUGGCGGCGUGCCUAAUACAUGCAAGUCGAGCGAACGGACGAGAAGCUUGCUUCUCUGAUGUUAGCGGCGGACGGGUGAGUAACACGUGGAUAACCUACCUAUAAGACUGGGAUAACUUCGGGAAACCGGAGCUAAUACCGGAUGAUAUUUUGAACCGCAUGGUUCAAAAGUGAAAGACGGUCUUGCUGUCACUUAUAGAUGGAUCCGCGCUGCAUUAGCUAGUUGGUAAGGUAACGGCUUACCAAGGCAACGAUGCAUAGCCGACCUGAGAGGGUGAUCGGCCACACUGGAACUGAGACACGGUCCAGACUCCUACGGGAGGCAGCAGUAGGGAAUCUUACGCAAUUGGCGAAAGCCUGACGGAGCAACGCCGCGUGAGUGAUGAAGGUCUUCGGAUCGUAAAACUCUGUUAUUAGGGAAGAACAUAUGUGUAAGUAACUGUGCACAUCUUGACGGUACCUAAUCAGAAAGCCACGGCUAACUACGUG